GGACGAACGCCGGCGGCGUGCUUACCCCAUGCAAGUCGAACGGAAAGGCCCUGCUUUUGUGGGGUGCUCGAGUGGCGAACGGGUGAGUAACACGUGAGUAACCUGCCCUUGACUUUGGGAUAACUUCAGGAAACUGGGGCUAAUACCGGAUAGGAGCUCCUGCUGCAUGGUGGGGGUUGGAAAGUUUCGGCGGUUGGGGAUGGACUCGCGGCUUAUCAGCUUGUUGGUGGGGUAGUGGCUUACCAAGGCUUUGACGGGUAGCCGGCCUGAGAGGGUGACCGGCCACAUUGGGACUGAGAUACGGCCCAGACUCCUACGGGAGGCAGCAGUGGGGAAUAUUGCACAAUGGGCGGAAGCCUGAUGCAGCAACGCCGCGUGCGGGAUGACGGCCUUCGGGUUGUAAACCGCUUUCGCCUGCGACGAAGCGUGAGUGACGGUAAUGGGUAAAGAAGCACCGGCUAACUACGUG
rnacentral:rRNA from 1 species